GACGAACGCUGGCGGCGUGCUUAACACAUGCAAGUCGAACGGAAAGGCCCUGCUUUUGUGGGGUGCUCGAGUGGCGAACGGGUGAGUAACACGUGAGUAACCUGCCCUUGACUUUGGGAUAACUUCAGGAAACUGGGGCUAAUACCGGAUAGGAGCUCCUGCUGCAUGGUGGGGGUUGGAAAGUUUCGGCGGUUGGGGAGGGACUGGCGGCUUAUCAGAUUGUUGGUGGGGUAGUGGCUUACCAAGGCUUUGACGGGUAGCCGGCCUGAGAGGGUGAGCGGCCACAUUGGGCCUGAGAUACGGCCCAGACUCCUACGGGAGGCAGCAGUGGGGAAUAUUGCACAAUGGGCGGAAGCCUGAUGCAGCAACGCCGCGUGCGGGAUGACGGCCUUCGGGUUGUAAACCGCUUUCGCCUGUGACGAAGCGUGAGUGACGGUAAUGGGUAAAGAAGCACCGGCUAACUACGUG
rnacentral:rRNA from 1 species